GACGUAGGGUCCAAGCGUUGUCCGGAUUUACUGGGCGUAAAGAGCGCGUAGGCGGUCCGUUAAGUGUAGAGUGAAAGCUCCGGGCUCAACCCGGAAAUUGCUCUGCAUACUGGCGGACUCGAGGACGGAAGAGGUUUGUGGAAUUCCUGGUGUAGCGGUGAAAUGCGUAGAUAUUCGGAAGAACACCAGUGGCGAAGGCGGCUUCCUGGUCUGCGACUGACGCUGUGGCGCGAAAGCUAGGGGAGCGAACGGG
rnacentral:rRNA from 1 species